rnacentral:rRNA from 1 species
ACGGGGUGCAGCAGGCGCGAAACCUUACAAUGCGGGAAACCGUGAUAAGGGAAUCUCGAGUGCCAGCAUAUAAUGUUGGCUGUCCAGAUGCCUAAAAAGCAUCUGUUAGCAAGGGCCGGGCAAGACCGGUGCCAGCCGCCGCGGUAACACCGGCGGCCCAAGUGGUAACCGCUUUUAUUGGGCCUAAAGCGCUCGUAGCCGGGCUUGCAAGUCCCUUGUGAAAUCGGACGGCUCAACCGUUCGGCGUGCAAGGGAUACUGCUGGCCUUGGGAUCGGGAGAGGUCGGGGGUACUCUGGGGGUAGCGGUGAAAUGCUGUAAUCCCUGGAGGACCACCAGUGGCGAAGGCGCCCGACCAUAACGGAUCCGACGGUAAGGGACGGAAGCUAGGGGAGCGAACGGGAUUAGAUACCCCGGUAGUCCUAGCAGUAAAGGAUGCGGGCUGGGUGUCAGGCGCCCUUCGAGAGCGCCUAGUGCCGUAGGGAAGCCGUUAAGCCCGCCGCCUGGGAAGUACGGCCGCAAGGCUGAAACUUAAAGGAAUUGGCAGGGGAGCA